UUUAAAUGUAGCUGUAAAUUUCUGUGUCUAACUUUAAUCGUCUGUCUUAUUUAACUUUUUUAUAAUUAGUAUUUUUUUAUUGUUACUAGAAUGGUAAAACCUGAGUAUUUUAUGUGUAACUUAUAUUUUUUAAUUAAUUCAAAUAUUUUUAAAUAAGAUAAAUGAUUAAAAUUAAAUAAAAGACAUAUAACUGUGUUUAAA
rnacentral:pre_miRNA from 1 species